GACGAAGGGGGCUAGCGUUGUUCGGAAUUACUGGGCGUAAAGCGCACGUAGGCGGCUACUCAAGUCAGAGGUGAAAGCCCAGGGCUCAACCUUGGAACUGCCUUUGAAACUAGGUAGCUAGAAUUCUGGAGAGGUCAGUGGAAUUCCGAGUGUAGAGGUGAAAUUCGUAGAUAUUCGGAAGAACACCAGUGGCGAAGGCGACUGACUGGACAGAUAUUGACGCUGAGGUGCGAAAGCGUGGGGAGCAAACAGG
rnacentral:rRNA from 1 species